CAUAUCACCGUUGAUGAACAGCUUUUCCCGUCAAAGACUCGCUGCUGUUUCCUGCAGUAUAUUGCAACUAAACCUGACAAGUUUGGGAUCAAGUUUUGGGUGGCUUGCGACCUAAAAUCCAAGUACAUUUGUAAUGUCCUCCCAUAUCUUGGCAAGGACCCUAGUCGUCCCAGUGGAGAGAGACUGUCUGAAAAUGUAGUGAUGAGGCUGAUGGAACCAUUCCUAGACAAGGGCAGAAAUGUUACCACGGACAAUUUCUUCACAUCGCUGUCACUUGCGCAUAAACUUCUUAGCCGGAAAACCACCAUCCUCGGCACAGUCAACAAGAUUCGCCGGGAAAUCCCUCAAUCCGCUAGACACACAGAUCGCAAUGAAUUCACCACUCAGGUGUUUUCAACCACUGCUGCUACGCUGACGGCGUAUGCGCCCAAACGGAAGAAGACCGUCUACAUUCUUAGCAGCAUGCACAGCGUGAUUCAGACUGAUAAUACCACCAAAAGGAAGCCAAACACUGUCACCCUUUACAACACCACAAAGUGCGGCGUGGAUGUGAUGGACCAGAUGGUGCGGGAGUACACUGUCCGCACAGGGACACGGCGCUGGCCAGUUGCCGUGUUCUAUAACAUGAUUGACAUGGC
ensembl:lncRNA